rnacentral:rRNA from 1 species
UAGGGAAUCUUCGGCAAUGGGGGGAACCCUGACCGAGCAACGCCGCGUGAGUGAAGAAGGUUUUCGGAUCGUAAAGCUCUGUUGUUAAGGAAGAACGAGUGUGAGAAUGGAAAGUUCAUGCUGUGACGGUACUUAACCAGAAAGGGACGGCUAACUACGUGCCAGCAGCCGCGGUAAUACGUAGGUCCCGAGCGUAGUCCGGAUUUAUUGGGCGUAAAGCGAGCGCAGGCGGUUAGAUAAGUCUGAAGUUAAAGGCAGUGGCUCAACCAUUGUAGGCUUUGGAAACUGUUUAACUUGAGUGCAGAAGGGGAGAGUGGAAUUCCAUGUGUAGCGGUGAAAUGCGUAGAUAUAUGGAGGAACACCGGUGGCGAAAGCGGCUCUCUGGUCUGUAACUGACGCUGAGGCUCGAAAGCGUGGGGAGCGAACAGG